rnacentral:rRNA from 1 species
AACAAACGCUGGCGGCGUGCCUAAUACAUGCAAGUCGAACGGGGAAAGUAGCAAUACGAGUACUAGUGGCGCACGGGUGAGGAAUACAUGGGUAAUCUGCCCUCGAGCUCGGGAUAACCAGUCGAAAGACUGGCUAAUACCGGAUAUGACCACAAGAUCUGAGGAUCAAGGGGUAAAAGGUUUUCGCUUGAGGAUGAGCCCAUGUGGGAUUAGCUAGUUGGUGUAGGUAACGGCUCACCAAGGCGACGAUCCCUAACUGGUCUUAGAGGAUGAUCAGUCACACUGGAACUGAGACACGGUCCAGACUCCUACGGGAGGCAGCAGUAGGGAAUAUUGCACAAUGGAGGAAACUCUGAUGCAGCGACGCCGCGUGAGUGAUGAAGGCCUUCGGGUCGUAAAGCUCUGUCGUAUGGGACUAACAAAAUGAAGGUACCGAUGCAAGAAAGGAAUCGGCUAACUUCGUGCCAGCAGCC